rnacentral:tRNA from 1 species
AAGGAUUUAAGUUAAAUUAAACUUAUAACCUUCAAAGUUAUAUAUAAAGAUAUUCUUUAAGCCUUA